rnacentral:SRP_RNA from 1 species
GGACAGGCUAGGUCGGCAGGUUAGCCCUCUGCUGUCAUCGUGAACGGGCUUUACGCGGGACCGAAGCCUGGGAAGAGGCAUUGUCACGCCCACAGGUCUCGAGCAGGACGCUGACGUUCUGUCCUGCAGGAUUGACGGUGUGGGAACCGCGCCAGGGCCGGAAGGCAGCAACGCUCACCAUAGCGCUCAGUGCUUGCAGGGUAGCGGAACCGAGAAAUGUUCGAGAUCCACCUGUUUGCGUUUCAGUGUACCAUUCUCGGGCGCGCCUGUCC